rnacentral:tRNA from 1 species
CAGGGAGACAACAAAAUGUUUAAUAUUAUUAUUUUGUCACCUUAGGUCGAUCGGUAUCUCACGUUCUUAAAUUGUUAAGAAUUUCAUUUCCUAAGUUUUUCUAGGUCACACCCAUUAUUUUUCCUGGGCCAUUAGCUCAGGUGGUUAGAGCGCACCCCUGAUAAGGGUGAGGUCCCUGGUUCAAGUCCAGGAUGGCCCAUAUCUCUAUGUUGGGGGUAUAGCUCAGUUGGUAGAGCGCCUGCUUUGCAAGCAGGAUGUCAGCGGUUCGAGUCCGCUUACCUCCACUGAUUACCACCUCUUCCAUAACCGGUAGAAAGGAAAUGUUUUGAGUUGUGAUCAUUAUUCUGAACGAAUCUAGCUUCCUAAUGAAAUCAUUAAGAUGCUGGACUCAUUGAAUUAAUUUCAUUGUUUUCAGAGAACCUUGACAACUGCAUAGAUUAUUUUUUAAAGACAAUAAGCAUCUUUAAUGAUGCAGAUUUAUUAUUUGUGCGAAUGCAUUAAUAACAAUUCUAUUAAGCUGAUGCUUCAAUUUUUGAAGUUAUU